rnacentral:rRNA from 1 species
GACGAACGCUGGCGGCGUGCCUAAUACAUGCAAGUAGAACGCAGUUGCGAACGGGUGAGUAACGCGUAGGUAACUGCCUCAUAGCGGGGGAUAACUAUUGGAAACGAUAGCUAAUACCCAAUACUUUGAGAUGGACCUUCGUUGUAUUAGCUAGUUGGUGAGGUAAAGGGUCACCAAGGCGACGCUACAUAGCCGGCCUGAGAGGGAGAUCGGGCAAAAUGGGACUGGGAAAAGGGCCAGGAUCCUAAGGGAGGGAGCAGUAGGGAAACAUCGGAAAUGGACGGAAGUCUGAACGAGCAAAGCCGGGUGAGUGGAGAAGGGUUUCGGAUCGGAAAAGUAUGUUGAUAGAGAAGCGGUAACUAAACAGAAAGGGACGGCUAACUACGUGCCAGCAGCCGCGGUAAUUC